UGAUAGCGAAGAUCCGCAAGGUUGCUGCAAGGAAAUCUUGGAGGUUUUUGCGGGGAGCGAAUGUCAAGUCAAGAUACUGGCGACAA
rnacentral:ncRNA from 1 species